rnacentral:lncRNA from 1 species
UACAAAAUCCUUUACUAUAUUCUAAAUAAAAUCCUUAGUUAACCUCAUAUGUAAAGGAAUUAAGACGGAUUUGUUUCUACGACAUUUAAUUUGGAAUAUUUAUGUUAACAAUAUAAAACGUAGCAGAUGACUCGGGUAGUGCGUAUACCUUCGCUAGUGAAUUAGGUUAUUUAUAUCAUGCAUAAAUUUUAUAAUCAUGUAUCCAAUUUUCAUCCAAAUUUAAGUUAACCAAAAUGUGAUAAAUUUGCCCUUUGGCAAUGUCAAUUAGUCCCAUAAAUUGUUUAGUUAAUACGUUUCUAAUAAGUUAUCAUGCUGACAGACAAACACAGAGACAGACACACACACGUACACAUACAAAUUAACAACCUCGUUCCCAGGCUCUUGAGGUUGACAAAUUAAAUGCCUCGAAAUUUUAUUUUUUUUCUUCCUGUAAUUGGUUUUAGACCUCUUUAGAAAUUAGACGUCGUCAAAUUUCUGUCGAACUUAGUUCGUUGAAUUUAAUGCUUCUAAAUUUUACUGGUAGGAAUUUCGAGGUCAAUUUCAGCCAAUAAUGUGACGAAUCCGUCGAAUACUGUACUUCGAAAACGUCGCACUUAAUGUUGCUGCGUAGAAUACUUAACAAUUAUUUAUCUAAGUGGAGGUGAAUAGUGCAAGGAUAUUCGCCAAAACACGAAUUUUGCAUAUAUCACAAUUCACAAAAACAAAAAAAUGACCAAAACACAACGAAAAUGUUUUUCAAACAAGUUGUGUUUCAGCUCCCGUAAUAGUUAAAAACAAAACAGUAUUUACACGCUUCUAGUAAUUUAUUCAUUAAAAAUUGUUUUAAAGAAUACCUCUUACACAUUAUUUUGUCCGCAGGUGACUAGUGCAGGGAUACCCGCAGCUGUGCAACCAAUCAAAUUGCGUGAAAAGCACUAUCCACCUAGCGCGGAAUACUGCUCAAAUUCUGCAAAAUAGCAGUUCUCUGAGAAGCCAAUCAGAUCUCUCUUUUAGUUAUCUAACCCAAAGCCUAAUUUUCAACGAGUGACCGAGUGAAAAUGGUUCUGGGGACGAGAAUGUAUCCACCUCCCAAGUAUAUGUUAAUACCAUUUCAAACGAUAAUUCUCUCGAAUAAAAAAUUUAGCAACACCAUGAAAUUCAACAAAUUAAACUCGACGGAAAUUCGACGUCUAAAACAGGCCUAAAAUCAGAGGUUUCUUGUGUAUUAUGCACCUUCUACAUCAUCUUUACGUCUUCCUCGAAUUUCGUGCUGAUUAUGUUAUCGUCGUCGGCGUGAUCGCCUUGUUGAUAUAGUUGCUGAUGCUGUUGUUAUUGGUAUCAUUGUAGCUGGAUUUUGUGUUGUUGUUGGCAUUAUAGGAUGGGAUCCAAUUGGUACCACGCUUACAAAUCGAUUACAAGUACUCCAAAAUACGGCAGCAAAGGUCAUCUUAGGAUAUAGAAAUGAGCAUGGUCAGUUUGAAGCCGCUUUGUCUGAAAUGCAAUUGAAAACGUUAAAAGAACGUAGAUUAAUCUUUAGGGGCAAGUUUAUGUACAAAAUUGCUCAUGCGCAAGCACCACCUGUUUUAACCGAUAUCUUUGAAGACUCAUCUGCU